UCGGGAAUAUUGCCCAAUGCGCGAAAGCGUGAGGCAGCAACGCCGCGUGCGCGAUGAAGGCCUUCGGGUCGUAAAGCGCUUUUCAGUGGGAUGAGGAAGGACAGUACCACUGGAAUAAGGUACGGCUAACUACGUGCCAGCAGCCGCGGUAAAACGUAGGUACCGAGCGUUAUCCGGAUUUACUGGGCGUAAAGCGUGUUCAGGCGGUCUAGCAAGUCGGGCAUGAAAUCUCUCGGCUCAACCGGGAGGGGUUGUCCGAUACUGCUGGACUGGAGGGCAGCAGAGGGUGGUGGAAUUCCGGGUGUAGUGGUGAAAUGCGUAGAUAUCCGGAGGAACACCAGUGGCGAAGGCGGCCACCUGGGCUGUACCUGACGCUAACACACGAAAGCUAGGGGAGCGAACGGG
rnacentral:rRNA from 1 species